rnacentral:misc_RNA from 1 species
GUGAAUCAUCGAAUUUUUGAACGCAAAUUGCGCCUUUUUCGGAAGGCAUGUCUGUUUGAGGGCACCAUUUAACAAAUAAUGUGCAGCGUUUUUUGCUGCGCACGUUGAGAAGCGUUCCAAGAAUUUUAAAGUUUGGGUGGCGCAUAAUUAACAUCGGGAAAGUUGUUAUUAUUUCGAGUGUAGUAAAAGCUAUGCUUGGGUUGCGAAAAAACAUAAUCGCGCAAUGGGUGUGGCAAUUUCUUUUUAUCCCUGCCGCAAUUCCACUCUUUCUCACGGAAGAGU